GACGAACGCUGGCGGCGUGCUUAACACAUGCCAGUCGAACGGAAAGGCUCCAGCUUGCUGGAGUACUCGAGUGGCGAACGGGUGAGUAACACGUGGGUAAUCUGCCCUGCACUCUGGGAUAAGCCUGGGAAACUGGGUCUAAUACUGGAUAUGACCUUUCUCCUUAUGGGGUUUGGUGGAAAGUUUUUCGGUGUAGGAUGAGCCCGCGGCCUAUCAGCUUGUUGGUGGGGUGAUGGCCUACCAAGGCGACGACGGGUAGCCGGCCUGAGAGGGUGAUCGGCCACAUUGGGACUGAGAUACGGCCCAGACUCCUACGGGAGGCAGCAGUGGGGAAUAUUGCACAAUGGGCGGAAGCCUGAUGCAGCGACGCCGCGUGAGGGAUGACGGCCUUCGGGUUGUAAACCUCUUUCAGCAGGGACGAAGCGUAAGUGACGGUACCUGCAGAAGAAGCACCGGCUAACUACGUG
rnacentral:rRNA from 1 species